rnacentral:sRNA from 1 species
CUUCUCUGGAACACCCCAGUCCCUAAGCCCAAAUAAAUCACAGGUGCUGCUUCGCCCAGAGAAAGCCCUCUGAGGGGCCACCUUUCAAAGCCUCAGCCGCCUCCCCUGUGGAAUGGAGUCCAUGUGCUCCCCAGGGCUGGUCAAGAAUCAGGGCUUUGGCCCGCAUGGAGAAGGGCUUCCUCAGGCCUGUGGGACGCAGUGCCCGCUGUCCAUGACCUUCUGUCUCUCCACAAGGAUCAGCGUCAGCAAGUGUCUUAGUCUCACUCAGAUUUGGCCCUUCUCCCGCGCCUGCCAGUUCAGCUAGCACUUCGGCCAGUGUCUCAGGCAGGGUCUAGGGUUGCAGGCACCAGAAGCUCACUCUGCUUACUUCAGCCAAAGGGAACUGAUUGAAAGUGGGAGUGUGCCUGAGUGAGCAGAUGCUGGAGACCGCCUGGAGGCCCCAGGGCAGCCUGCAGAGGCCAAGAGGUGGAGCACGGAGCUAGGAUGCAGAAAUCCCGGCUGCGGCCAGACCGGGAAAGAGCCCCUUGAUGACAGUCCUGUGAGGCCACAUCUGAUGGAGAAACAGUGCCUCACUAGGAAACAGGUGCUAUAAGGGACAAUGGAUGUGGCCAGAACGCAGCUACCCACUCAUCAGGGGCUUAGACAGAAAGUGGAUUCUAGAAUGUCCUUUCCUCUUCAGGGCCACGCCUGGCUGAAAGAUGACGAAGCGACACACUGUAGGCAGUGUGAGAAGGAGUUCUCCAUUUCCCGGAGAAAGCACCACUGCCGGAACUGUGGCCACAUCUUCUGCAACACCUGCUCCAGCAACGAGCUGGCCCUGCCCUCCUACCCCAAGCCGGUGCGAGUGUGCGACA